rnacentral:rRNA from 1 species
AAAGUGGAGCAAUCCAUGAGUAGAGUGGCAAACGGGUGAGUAACACGUGGGUGACCUGCCUUCGAGCGGGGGAUAACGUCCCGAAAGGGACGCUAAUACCGCAUAACAUCCUGCCUUUUAAGAGGUGGAGAUCAAAGCCGGGGAUCGCAAGACCUGGCACUUGAAGAGGGGCCCGCGCCUGAUUAGCUAGUUGGUGGGGUAAUGGCUCACCAAGGCAACGAUCAGUAUCCGGCCUGAGAGGGCGGACGGACACACUGGGACUGAGACACGGCCCAGACUCCUACGGGAGGCAGCAGUGGGGAAUUGUUCGCAAUGGGCGCAAGCCUGACGACGCAACGCCGCGUGGAGGAUGAAGACCUUCGGGUCGUAAACUCCUUUCGAUCGAGACGAAUGGUUUCCGGGUGAACAAUCCGGAGAAAUGACGGUACCGAGAGAAGAAGCCCCGGCUAACUCCGUGCCAGCAGCCGCGGUAAUACGGGGGGGGCAAGCGUUGUUCGGAAUUACUGGGCGUAAAGGGCUCGUAGGUGGCCAACUAAGUCAGACGUGAAAUCCCUCAGCUUAACUGGGGAACUGCGUCUGAUACUGGAUGGCUUGAGUUUGGGAGAGGGAUGCGGAAUUCCAGGUGUAGCGGUGAAAUGCGUAGAUAUCUGGAGGAACACCGGUGGCGAAGGCGGCAUCCUGGACCAAUACUGACACUGAGGAGCGAAAGCCAGGGGAGCAAACGGGAUUAGAUACCCCGGUAGUCCUGGCCCUAAACGAUGAAUGCUUGGUGUGGCGGGUAUCGAUCCCUGCCGUGCCGAAGCUAACGCAUUAAGCAUUCCGCCUGGGGAGUACGGUCGCAAGGCUGAAACUC